UGCGAGGGUGAUGAGUUGCACUGUAGCGGAGCUAUCAUGUCGGGUGACAUGGACUCCGCUCAGAAUCUCCCUGGUGACAAAACUAAGUGCACAGGGGCCAUCUGACUCGCU
rfam:Mesitornis unicolor contig98654, whole genome shotgun sequence.